ensembl:snRNA U6 U6 spliceosomal RNA
GUGUUUGCUUUGGCAGCACAUAUGCUAAAAUUGGAAUGGUAAAGUGAUUAGCAUGACCCUUGCACAAAGAUGAUACCCACAGUCUUUAACUAUUCCAUAAAAAA